rnacentral:rRNA from 1 species
CGGGUGAGUAACGCGUGGAUAACCUGCCUUUCACAGGGGGAUAACAGCUGGAAACGGCUGCUAAUACCGCAUGAGCCUCUUUUGUCGCAUGAGAAGAGAGGGAAAGAGAAAUCGGUGAGAGAUGGAUCCGCGUCCGAUUAGCUAGUUGGAGGGGUAACAGCCCACCAAGGCGACGAUCGGUAGCCGACCUGAGAGGGUGGACGGCCACAUUGGGACUGAGACACGGCCCAAGCUCCUACGGGAGGCAGCAG